GAUGAACGCUGGCGGCGUGCCUAAUACAUGCAAGUCGAGCGAACGGACGAGAAGCUUGCUUCUCUGAUGUUAGCGGCGGACGGGUGAGUAACACGUGGAUAACCUACCUAUAAGACUGGGAUAACUUCGGGAAACCGGAGCUAAUACCGGAUGAUAUUUUGAACCGCAUGGUUCAAAAGUGAAAGACGGUCUUGCUGUCACUUAUAGAUGGAUCCGCGCUGCAUUAGCUAGUUGGUAAGGUAACGGCUUACCAAGGCAACGAUGCAUAGCCGACCUGAGAGGGGGAUCGGCCACACUGGAACUGAGACACGGACCAGACUCCUACGAGAGGCAGCAGUAGGGAAUCUUCCGCAAUGGGCGAAAGCCUGACGGAGCAACGCCGCGUGAGUGAUGAAGGUCUUCGGAUCGUAAAACUCUGUUAUUAGGGAAGAACAUAUGUGUAAGUAACUGUGCACAUCUUGACGGUACCUAAUCAGAAAGCCACGGCUAACUACGUG
rnacentral:rRNA from 1 species